rnacentral:sRNA from 1 species
CGACUGCUUCUUAACAUCGGCCACCCGU